AUUGAACGCUGGCGGCAUGCCUUACACAUGCAAGUCGAACGGCAGCAUGGAGAGCUUGCUCUCUGAUGGCGCGUGGCGAACGGGUGAGUAAUGCAUCGGAACGUACCGUGUAAUGGGGGAUAACGUAGCGAAAGUUACGCUAAUACCGCAUACGACCUGAGGGUGAAAGCAGGGGAUCGCAAGACCUUGCGUUAUACGAGCGGCCGAUGUCAGCUUAGCUAGUUGGUGAGGUAAAGGCCUACCAAGGCGACGAUCUGUAGCGGGACUGAGAGGAUGAUCCGCCGAACUGGGACUGGGACACAGCCCAGACUCCUACGGGAGGGAGCAGUGGGGAAUAUUGGACAAUGGGGGGAACCCUGAUCCAGCCAUGCCGAGUGUGUGAAGAAGGCCUUAUGGUUGUAAAGCACUUUAAGCGAGGAGGAGGCUACUGAGACUAAUACUCUUGGAUAGUGGACGUUACUCGCAGAAUAAGCACCGGCUAACUCUGUGCCAGCCGCCGCAGUAAGAC
rnacentral:rRNA from 1 species